CAAAUGGCUCGUCUGAGACCCGAAGAAUUUACAUAACUUGCUAAAGUCACGCAAGAAGAAAGUGAAAGUGUCAAUUUUCGAAUCUAGGUAUUUAACGCAAAAGCGUAUACCAUUUGCCAGAGGGAAGCUUCUGAGGUACUGUCUCUCAAAUCAGGCCCUGGAAACUGGGUCCACCUGUACAACCUAAAGCCCAGACACUGGACUCACAGCUACCCACUUUCUGCAGGACCCACCUUUUACCUGCCUCUGUCUUAGAGUCUGAGUUGAGACUUCAGCUGAGGAUACUUACUCCAAAUAAAGUGAUUUUUCUAUUACACUGCAAUAGAG